GGCAACGUGACGGAGUGGUUAACGUGAUCGCCUCGAAGCAACAAGCCGUAAGCGAUUUCCUUCGGGAGCGCAGGUUCGAAUCCUGCCGUUGUCG
rnacentral:tRNA from 2 species